rnacentral:rRNA from 1 species
AUACGGAGGGGGUUAGCGUUGUUCGGAAUUACUGGGCGUAAAGCGCACGUAGGCGGACCGGAAAGUAAGAGGUGAAAUCCCAGGGCUCAACCCUGGAACUGCCUUUUAAACUAUCGGUCUAGAGUUCGAGAGAGGUGAGUGGAAUUCCUAGUGUAGAGGUGAAAUUCGUAGAUAUUAGGAGGAACACCAGUGGCGAAGGCGGCUCACUGGCUCGAUACUGACGCUGAGGUGCGAAAGCGUGGGGAGCAAACAGGAUUAGAUACCCUAGUAGUCC